rnacentral:rRNA from 1 species
GACGAACGCUGGCGGCGUGCUUAACACAUGCAAGUCGAACGGGCCCGCCCCUGUUUUUGGGGGUGGGUUGAGUGGCGAACGGGUGAGUAUCACGUGAGUAACCUGCCCCCUGCUCCUGGAUAACUGCUUGAAAGGGCGGCUAAUACGGGGUGUGCCGGCUGGUCCGCAUGGGCCUGGUCGGGAUAGUUUCAUCUUCGGGUGUUUCGGUGGGGGAUGGGCUCGCGGCCUAUCAGCUUGUUGGUGGGGUGAUGGCCCACCAAGGCGGUGACGGGUAGCCGGCCUGAGAGGGUGGGCGGCCACACUGGGACUGAGACACGGCCCAGACUCCUGCGGGAGGCAGCAGUGGGGGGUAUUGCACAAUGGGCGGAAGCCUGAGGCAGCGACGUCGCGUGAGGGAUGGAGGCCUUCGGGUUGUGAACCUCUUUCUCCGGUGGUGAAGGCCCUGUCCGUUGCGGCGGGGUUGACGGUAGCCGGGGAUGAAGCGCCGGCUAACUACGUG